AUAGGGUCAAGUGAGUAAGUGCAUCAGGCGGAUGCCUUGGCGAUGAUAGGCGACGAAGGACGUGUAAGCCUGCGAAAAGCGCGGGGGAGCUGGCAAUAAAGCUAUGAUUCCGCGAUGUCCGAAUGGGGAAACCCACUGCAUU
rnacentral:rRNA from 1 species